rnacentral:rRNA from 1 species
UAGAUACCCUAUUAUUCAUGUUAAAAAUAAGGCCGGACAGUAAAAACAAUCGUUUAAAAUCUAAAGAUCUUGGCGGUGCUUCAUCUAAUCAGGGGAACCUGUUCCUUAAUUCGAUACUCCACGAACAUCAUACCGCCUCUGGAAAUACACAGCCUGUGUACUGCCGUCCAAAGCACACCCCUAAGGGGUGUACAACAGCGAUAGGAUAUCCUACCAACCAUGUCAGGUCAAAGUACAGCCUAUGGGGCGGGGGAAAUGGGUUACAUCCAAAAAAUAGACGCCAAAUCAGACUAAAUAAAUUUGAAAUAAAGAAGGACUUGACAGUAAUGAUAGAAUAAAAUUCAGUCAUGAACAAAGUUAGAAGCACGCACAUAUCGCCCGUCGCUCCUCUCUAAAAAAGUGGAUAAGUC